AAGCUGGAACCUUUACAUGAUCAAGUGUUGCUCCAGCUCGAUGUAGUGCAGGUUGAGGUCAGUUUGAAAGAAAUCAAAGGUGAGUUUAUCCCCUCUCUCACAACAGUCAAACACUCCAUGGAUGUAUCAUUGUGUUCAACAUCUGUGCUAUCCGAUGAUGAUGAUGAUGAUUUUUGCGAGGAAAAUAAUAGAACAAAAACGACUCAUAUAGAUACUAAACAAAGACCCGAAUUUGAAUCUGAAUUCACUGGUUUGAUGGGCACCCAAACUCAGAUUGCCAGCACACUCACCACGUCUGAAAUUUCACCGUUGUACCUCUAAUUACUGAAAUUUACAGACUUGCGGUUUUAUCUGAUGAGAGUACGUACGAAGGCGAUAAUCGGUUAGCCUUGGUACCUUACGUAUAUGUCGAGGUGGAUUCAAUUGCAUGCAGAGAGGUAGCUGUGCAACAAGUUUCUUGCUUUACUGCUAAGGAUGGGCUGGAUCAAAAUAUAGAUUAUGACAGUGGACUCCUAAAAAAGAUGGGUCGUAAUAGAAAUCUUCAAGCACAGGCUCAGAAACAAAUCUUGAUUCCACAAGCAUUGGGCCAUCUUUUAGGAGGAGGAAAUCACGUCAAAUGGGAAAUCUCAGCGGUAAGCAAUCAGAGACCAUAAUUGUUGAAUACUCAGUUUCUGAUAAUGGGAUAAAGAAUAGAAAUGCUAUUAUCAAAGCUGGUAAGGAAUUGAUUGGUGAGGAUGAGGCAAGUAGUUCAAGAUACGGACCCGACAUCAAUGCUGGUGAUGAAGCAAAUGAGCCUACACAUUCUGAUACCUGGGCCGAAGCCACUACUUGCUGGGAAGUUGGAAAAGCUAUUCUUCAAGGGCAUGACGAUAGCACACUCAUGACUCAGACACUGCAGGGAUUCCUAGACUAGGAGCAGGAAGAGUGGAUCCUAAGGAAGAAGGCGUGAUUUGCUUCCAUAAAUAGUCUGAAGGUAUGGUCUCUGUAAUCAUUCCUAUGGGUAGUAUAAUUGUAUAGAAUGUGUGUGGCUUAGGGGGCAGAGAAAAAAAAAGAUGCAUGAGGAAUUUUGGUACAAAAUUUAAUCUUCAUAUCUUGGGUAUUCUGGAAACAAAAUUGGAAACUGUAAAUGAUUUCACUAUUACUGCUAUAUGGGGUAUAUGGGGUCGUCAUCCUAGGGGUUAGUAUGCAGUUCCCUCUUUAGGCCUUUCAGGAGGGAUUUUAUGCAUAUGGAAUCCGGAUCUUUUUUGUGUCUCUAGCUGUAGUGUUGCUAUGAAUAGCUGUAUUUUGCAUAUUAAAGGCACCUUCACUCGAUCCAAUCUAGAUUGCCUAGUUUCUUUUCUAUAUGCUCCGAAUGUUGGAAACCUGAAGAAUGAGCUGUGGACUUAUCUUGUUACAUUCAGGGAUAGUGUUAGCAAGCUGUAGUGUCUUGCAAGUGAUUUUAAAGAAACUUUAUUCCCAUCAGAUAGGAAAGGCGGUUCAUAAAUAACAUCUUCCAUGACAAGAUUUAAAAAUUGCAUUGAUGGUUGUAAUCUUAUGGAGCUCCCCUUAAAUGGGAGAAAAUUUACAUGGUCUCGAGGUAAUGCUGCUAGUCGCAUUGAUAAAAUAUUUUUAUUAGGGGAUUGGUUUCAGGCUUUUCCAUCUUCUACUUUAUUUGGUCUCUCAAAAUAUUCAUCUGAUCAUAGGCCUCUACAUCUGUUGCUAGACUCUACAAAUUGGGGCCCAAAACCUUUCCGCUUCAUGAAUUGCUGAUGGCUUAUGUCUAAUUUUAAGAGUAUGAUUCAGAGCUUUUGGAGCUCAAUUACGGUUUCAAAAACUGGCUCAAGGAAUAUGGUCCCAACUCUAAAGAUGUUGAAAGAGAGAUGUCGGUAGUGGAGUAAAGCUACUGUGGGAAGCAUGAAUAACAGAAUUGAAGAUCUAGAACUUGAAGCUGACUCAAUGGAUCGUCAAAAUGAGUGCAGGGUCUUGACUGUUGAUGAACUGAUUAGAAGUAAUUUCAUUGCCUCCCGACUUAAAAUCCUGUAUAGAGCUCAAGAGUCUGCCUAGCAUCAAAAGUCAAGAAUUCAGUGGUGUAAGCUUGGAGAUAAAAAUACCUAAUUCUUUCAUUUAGCUGCAACAACAAGACAGAAAAAGAAUCAGCUUGCUUGCCUGAAGGUUGAUGGACAGAUCCUAUCUAAACCAAUUGAUGUGAAGCUAGCUGUCUUUCACUUUUUCCGCAACUUAUACUCCCACCAGAACAGACCUAGAGCUUCAUGUACAAACUUGGAAUUCUCAAGGCUGAAGCCUUCAUCCUUGGCUGCUCUUGAAUUGCCAUUUUUUGCAAAAGAGGUUACAGCAGCUGUAUGGGAUUGUGAUGGAAAUAAAGCUCCAGGUCCUGAUGGCAUUAACUUCCUUUUCAUCAAGAAAGCAUGGAACAUUAUAGGUGAGGAUAUUAUCCAGAUGGUUGAUGAAUUCUAUCAGACUAAUCUCCUUCCUGCAGGUAUCAAUAGCACCUUUGUUACUCUUAUUCCAAAGAUUAAAGGUGCUAACAAGCUAUCAGAUUUCAGACCUAUUAGUUUGGUGGGCAGCCUAUACAAGAUCUUCUCAAAGAUUUUAGCAACUAGGUUGAAACAUGUUAUGCCAGAGAUCAUCUCUCAUCAUCAAAAUGCUUUCAUCAAAGGGAGGCAAAUUUUAGACAGCAUCUUGAUUGCAAAUAAGGUCCUUUUUUUCAGCGAGAAAAAAAGGGGUAAAGCUUAUCUUUUCAAAUUGGAUUUUCAUAAAGCCUUUGAUUUAGUGUUAUAGGAAUAUAUUAAUGAAUUCAUGGCUAGUAUGAGCUUUGGUAGUAGAUGGCGAGGGUGGAUUAUGCAAUGCAUAUCAAUGGCAAAAAUGUCUAUGCUUGUUAAUGGGUCUCCCACGGAAGAAUUCUGCUUAGCAAAAGGCCUGUGCCAAGGAGACCCUCUCUCUCCAUUUCUCUUCAACAUUCAGUCCAGGGCUUGAGUUGUAUGUUGCAGCGUGGCUAUGAUUUGGGUUUGACUUCGGGUAUAAACAUCGGUAAUUCAGGGCUUGUCAUAUCUCACUUACAGUUUGCGGACGACACCCUUAUGUUCAGUUCAGACUCUUUACAUAGCAUACAGAACAUUAAAUGUAUCUUAUUAUGCUUUGAACUUGUAUUGGGGCUGAAGGUCAAUUUUUAUAAAAGCAGUAUUGUGGGUGUGGGUGUGGCAGCUCAUACAUGUAACUCCAUAGCUCAGCUUCUCAGAUGUAAACAGGAUCAGCUGCCUCUCAUGUAUCUUGGGCUCCCCAUCGGUGGAAAUUUGGGUAGAACUACAAUGUGGAAUCCUAUUUUGCGCAAUAUCAGUUGUUAGUUGGCUUCGUGGAAAGGUAGGUUCUUAUCUAUUGGGGGUCGUUUGUGCUUAAUUAAAUCUGUACUCAGCAAUCUCCCCAUCUACUAGCUAUCUAUGUUCCCCAUGCCUACUACAGUAGCCUCCAAAAUUGAUCAGAAACUUUGAUCCUUCCUCUGGUCUAGAAAUGAGGAAAGACACAAAAUAUGCAAUGUCAGCUGGGCCACUGUUACUCUUCCAAAACAUUCAGGUGGUUUGGGAUUGGUUCCAUUGUAUGAGAAAUAAUAAGUUGCAGAAUAUUGUGAAUGACCAAUCCCUUGUUCUUAUCGGAAAUGGCAAGAACACUAUGUUUUGGCUUGAUUGCUGGCUUAAUAACUACUAUUUAGCAGAGCAAUUCCCUACUCUUUUCCACUUAUCCAAUGACAAAGCUGCCACCAUUGCUAAGAUAGGAAUGUGGGAAGGGUAUGAGUGGAUUUGAGUUUUUUCCUGGAUACGUUCACUAUGGGGGCAUAACAUUGGCUUGCUUGAUCAACGCUAUACAAUCCUAUUGAUAGUUCACAUGGACAAAGAUGGAGAUGAUAGACUAAUAUGGAAGGACAAUAAUUCAGGAAGAUUUUCAGUGAAAUCUCUCUAUGGAUUGUUAAGUCCAAAGCGUUCCACAAACAAUGCCUUCUCGUUUGCUGAAAUUUAGAAAGGUAUUGUUCCUCAUAAGGUAGAGAUCUUUUGCUGGAUGGCUAUCAUUAAUAGAAUUAACACGUGAUGUAUGUUGGUUCGAAGAGGUGUAUUGGUUAGCUCGUAAUCAAAUUGUCCUAUCUGCCUAUUGGAGGCAGAAUCGAUGGACCAUAUCCUGCUACACUGCUAUAAGCAUUGGCUCAUUUGGUCCAAAAUCAUUAAGUGGUGGGGUCUAGUUUGGUGUUGCCCAAAAAGCUUCUUAGAUUUGUGGACUCAAUGGACUUCUAUGGUGCAUGGUCAUUUUCAGAUGAAGGCAUGGUUGAUGUUGUUUUUCUUAGUGGCAUGGUCUCUUUGGCUCUUUCGAAAUGAUCUGAUUUUCCAACAGAAGACUCCUGACUAUGAUUCAAUAUUCUUUCUUAUUAUCACCCGUCUAUGUCUAUGGCUAAAAGCUAUCCAUUCUGAUUUCCCAUACUCUCCUACAGAUCUGAUCAGAUCGGCAGAUGGCUUGCUUCGGUGGUCCAACGCUCACUCUUCUAGGAUUAAUAAUAUAUUGUCUCCUCCUAUGAUUAAUAGCCUCAAAUGGAAUGUGGAUGGCUCCUCUUUUGGUAAGUCAGGCCCCUCUGGAAUAGGUGGUGUGUUGCGAAAUCACCAUGGCCAUCUUCUCGGUAUGUUCUCUAUUCCAGUUGGUAUUUUAGACUCUAAUAUUGCUGAGUUAAGGGCUAUUGUCAAAGCCAUUGAUCUAUCAUCAUCUAAUUGUCUCUUCCACCAUCAACACCUCAUCAUAGAAUCUGACUCUAUCAAUGCUAUUACCUGGAUGACGAAGCCUCAUAGCCAUCCCUGGAAGCAUCAUAAUUUGUUCUCCUCUAUUAAUAGACUAACAACAUAUUUUAGUUCAAUCUCCUGCUCAUAUAUAUUUCGUGAAAGUAAUUGCAUGGUAGAUUGCAUGGCUAAACAAGGAGUGCGGAGAUCAAGUGAAUUUGUUGCCUGGCUUUGACUUCACCAUUUUUCUGUGGCCUUGCUCUUGUGUCUUCUACCAUUUUAUUUUUGAGUUAUUUUGUUUUGUUUUUUAGAGGAAUGUCUAGUUUUGAGCUUAUUCGGAUGGAUAUUCUACGGUUCUCUU